GAAAGGCUGUGCGGGAGCGCAGCUGGAUGCGUCAUACCGGCAUCCCAUUUAGG
ncrna:unclassified sequences S4-Clostridia ribosomal protein leader